GUCACACACUUGGCAGCCGAGGAGAGAGAGGAAGGACAGCUGUGAAAACUACAUCUGGAAAAUGAGUCGGAAGCACUGUAGCAUUUGGAUGCAUUUUAAUAAUGUAGACACAGUGCCCAGUGUAGAAUUUGCCAAAACAAAAUCUCAUAUAAAGCCGGUUCUACGCACAACCUACACCGGCAUCUGCAAACUGUGCACCCAACUGUGAAGCUAGCUGUAGCGGAGCUUCGAGAAACUAGCGGGCCUGCUAGUGAUAGCGGUGGAGCCAGCUCCUCCACAUUUUAUUUAUUUAUUUACCGUUAUUUUACCAGACACUCCCAUCCUGAGCUAUCGCAGGAGCAACCAGGGUCAAACGCCCCGCCCAAGGCCACAUCAACAAAUCUCCCACCAAGUCAAAUCGGGGACCCAAACCACAGAACAAGCUCCCAACUGCCAGGCCACCAACCAUCCAAGAUCCCCCCCACAGUUCCCUGGAGCUGCCCCUCAACCAUCCGAGACUCCCCCUACACUGAACAAAAAUAUAAACACAACAUUCAACAAUUUCAAAGAUUUUACAGAGUUACAGUUCAUAUAAGGAAAUCCAAUGGAAAUAAAUUCAUUAAGCCCUAAUCCAGUUGCGUAAAGUACUUAGGUAAAAACAACUUUAAAGUACUACAUAAGUAGUUUUUUGGGGUAUCUGUACUUUUCUUUACUAUUUAUAUUUUUGCCUUUUACUUCACUACAUAUCGAAGGAAAAUAAUGUACUUUUUACUCCACACAUUUUCCUUGACACCCAAAAUUACAUUUUCACAGGAAAAUGGUCCAAUUCACACACUUAUCAAGAGAACAUCCCUGGUCAUCCCUACUGCCUCUGAUCUGGCAGACAAAUUAUGCCUCAGUGUUGGAGUGUGCCCUUGGCUAUCCGUAAAUUUAAAAAAAUUAAACAAGAAAAUUGUGCUUUCUGGUUUACAUAAUAUAAGGAAUUUGACGUUAUUAAUACUUUUACUUUUGAUACUUAAGUAUAUUAAAACCAAAUACUUUUACUUUUACUCCGGUAGUAUUUUACUGGGUGACUUUCACUUUAACUUGAGUCGUUUUCUGUUAAGGUAUCUUUACCUUUACUCAAGUAUGACAAUUGAGUACUUUUUCUGCCACUGCCCUAAUCUAUGGAUUUCACAUGACUGGGAAUACAGACAUGCAACUGUUGGUCAGUAUCUGGUGUGACCACCAUUUGCCUCAUGCAACAUCUCCUUCGCAUAGAGUUGAUCAGGCUGUUGAUUGUGGAAUGUUGUCCCACUCCUUUUCAAUGGCUGUACAAAGUUGCUGGAUAUUGGCGGGAACUGGAACACGCUGUCAAACACGUCGAUCCCAAACAUGACAUCUGGUGAAUAUGCAGGCCAUGAAAGAACUGGGACAUUUUCAGCUUCCAGGAAUUGUGUACAGACCAUUGCGAAAUGGGACUGAAUUAUCAUGCUGAAACAUGAGGUGAUGGCAGCGGAUGAAUGGCACGACAGUAGGCGUCAGGUUCUCAUCAUAGCAUCUGUGCAUUCAAAUUACCACCGAUAUAAUGCAAUUGUGGUCAUUGUCUGUGGCGUGUGCCUGCCCAUACCAUAACCACACCGCCAUCAUGGUUCACAAUGUUGAAAUCAGCAAACCACUCGUCGACACGGGGUCUGCGGUUGUGAGGCCGAUUGGACGUACUGCCAAAUUCACUAAAAUUACGUUGGAGGCGGGUUAAGGUAGAGAAAUUAACAUUUAAUUCUCUGGCAACAGCUCUGGCGGAGAUUCCUGCAGUCAGCAUGCCAAUUGCACGCUCUCUCAACUUGAGAUAUCUGUGGCAUUGUGUUGUGUGACAACUGCCCAUUUUAGAGCGGCCUUUUAUUGUCCACAGCACAAGGUGCACCUGUGUAAUGAUCAUGCUGUUUAAUCAGCUUCUUGAUGGGCCACACCUAUCAGGUGGAUGGAUUAUCUUGGAAAAGCAGAAAUCCUCACUAACAGGGAUGUAAACAAAUUUGUGCCUCAAAUUUGAGAGAGAAAAGCUUUUUGUGCGUAUGGAACAUUUCUGUGAUCUUUUAUUUCAGUUCAUGAAACAUGGGACCAACACUUUGCAUGUUGCGUUUUAUAUUUUUGUUCAGUGUAAAUGCCUCAUGUAGUAUUAGAUCGGUAAUAUUGUUUAAAGAUGCACUAUGCAGAAAUCACUCCGCCAUUUCCUGGUUGCUAAAGUUCAAAUAUUUCGCAUCAUUUCAGUUUAUGUGACAAAACCAGUAAAUAUAGUGUAGAGAAUCAUUGUACCAUCUAAACCGCCAUAAAAUAUAUUUUCCAUAACCAAAAAUAUUGUAUUUUCAGCUCUUUGAAGCUAGUGUACAAAACCAAAAGUAAAAGACGCAAAAACAAAACUUAAGAACGGGACGCAUAGAAAUGGAGCACAUAUAGUAGAACAGAUUUACGGCUUCUUAGACUUGCUUUCAUUGAGAAUGGCAGAUCUAUAACAUCUAUAAUAUGUGAAUUUGGUUGGUUCACCCAAAAAGUUACAUAGCGCAGAUUUAAGUGAAGUCCCCACCAUGCUUCAGAUUUUUUUUAAAUGCAAUCUGCUCUUAUCAUCACUCUGCAUUAGUGUACACUUUUGUUAACCAUGACUAACCUCUACUGCCUAGGAAGGCACAAACACUACAUGACCAAAAGUAUGUGAUACCUGCUCGUCGAACAUCUCAUUCCAAAAUCAUGGGCAUUAAUAUGUUGGUCCCCUAUUUGCUGCCAAAUCAGUCUACACUCUUUUGGGAAGGCUUUCCACUAGAUGUUGGAACAUUGCUGCGGGGCCUUGCUUCCAUUCAGCCACAAGCAUUAUUGAGGUCGGGCACUGAUGUUGGACGAUUAGGCCAGGCUCGCAGUCUGCAUUCCAAUUCAUCUCAAAGGUGUUUGAUGGGGUUGAGGUCAGGUCUCUGUGCAGUUCAGUCAAGUUCUUCCACACCAAACUGUUGCCACAAAGUUGGAACCACAGAAUUGUGUAGAAUGUCAUUGUUAAGAUUUUCCUUCACUGGAACUAAUGGGCUUAGCCCAAACCAUAAAAAAACAGCCACCAAACUUUACAGUUCACACUAUGCAUUGAGCCAGGUAGUGUUCUCCUGGCAUCCGCAUUGGCAUUUUUAUCCGUCGGACUACCAGAUUGUGAAGCGUGAUUCAUUACUCCAGUGAACGCUUUUCCAAAGUCCAAUGGUGGCAAGCUUUACACCACUCCAGCCAAAGCUUGGCAUUGUGCAUAGUGAUCUUAGGCUUGUGUGCGGCUGGUCGCCAUGGAAACCCAUUUCAUGAAGCUCCCUACGAACAGUUAUUGUGCUGAAGUUGCUUCCAGAGGCAGUUUUGAACUUGGUAGUGAGUGUUGCAACCGAGAACAGACUAUUUUUACGCGCUAUGCACUCCAGCACUCGGUGGCAUCUUAUGACGGUGCCACGUUGAAAGUCUAUGCAUAGUCACAUUAAUUACUCAACCUACAUGUAUAUAUUACCUUAAUACCGGUGCCCCCGCACAUUGACUCUGUAUCGGUACCCAUUGUAUAUAGUCUAGCUAUUGUUAUUUACUACUGCUCUUUAAUUAUUUGUUAUUCUUAUCUCUAACUUUUUGAGGGUAUUUUCUUAACUGCAUUGUUGGUUAAGGGCUUGUAAGUAAGCAUUUCACUGUAAGGUCUACACCUGUUGUAUUUGGCUGAUGUGAUAAAUCAAAUUUGAUUUGAGCUCUUCAGUAAGGCCAGGAGAAUGAAUGGCUGUGUGUUCGAUUGUAUAGCCCUGUCAGCAAUGGAUGUGGCUGAUCCACUAAUUUGAAGGGGUGUCCACAUACGUUUGUAUAUAUAGUGUAGAAGGGCAUAGUACAGAACAUAAGAUAAGAUAAGAUCUUAAUAAGAUCAACCUCAAGAAACAACUUUUUAAGUUGAAAUUAAAAUGCAUGCUGUCACAAAUGCUUAGCACUCUACUGCAUUGCAUCCAGUUGGUCCAUGGGAGAUCCCAGAAGACUGUUCUCUGGGGGGGCUGGAGUUCUAGCAGACGGGCCACUAUGGACCCAUCUGCAGAAGCACACUCUGGAGAGGACAUAUCUACUGCUGUGGUGGUCAAGACACUCAGGGGAAUGCGCUUGUACUGUACAGCGCUAUCAGAGGCUGUGUGUGCGUGGAAAAUAGUUGCAUCUAUUUGGAGAGUUUGCCCCAAGAAAGUUUGAGGUAUGGAAUAGCUUUGUGAGUACCUCGCAGGUAAAAACAAUCCAUUUUGGAAUUGUCCUCUUAGAGGGAAUUUCUCAUCCCACUGCAUUAAAUAGAAAAACAAGUUAAGUGGAUAUCCAAUCUCUUACGUGCAGUAUACUGUGUCUCCUUUCAAGUAGCUUAAAUCAGCCUGAGGCAAAAGAGUUUGUGGACGGGAUCCUUUUCCAUGGGACAGUGUGUAAACACCUCCACCUGGCCCAGAUGCUGUGGUGCCAGUACCAGCCACUACCCAUGUACCUGGUUCUGUAGUCCUGGCAACCUCCCGCAUUACCUAUGGACCUUGAGGAAUUGCCGGGACUUCAAGUUCAACUUAGCUGUAACAAAUACAUUGGAUAUCGUACUCAGCAGUGCUCUUACUAAUCAACUAUGUUGAAUAUUUCUAUUCCCAAUAUUAUGUAAAUUCAUUAUUACAUUUUUCAGAUAUAUUUCAUUAAAAGGUUCACAGAGAAAUAAUUGGUCAAUUUAAUUUCAGACAUUUGAUUCCGGUCAUCCACUGACUUAAAUAAGAUUAAAUACAUUUCCAUGCUCUCCAGAGGGAUUCGGAGUCCUUGGAUCCACUCCAGCACUUUUCAGAGAGAUCAGUGUUUUCGGUGGCAAAGAAGAUGGCAGCAGGCCAAAAUGACAACUGAUGUCCCUCUCAAAUGGCAGGUUCCAGAGAGGAUGAUGAAGCAUCCAAUCAGACAGAAGUGAUGUGUGAGCAUUGGGACUUAAUCUGUAUUUGGGAAUCUGCCCCCGUAGCCUAGAAUAUACAUAGAUGCUUGUUUUAUUAAUGUUCUGGCAAAAUAUUUCUACAUGCCUUUGUUGCUUUUUGUAAUAUCAACAUGCUUGAUAGCUGUUUUUCUCUCACCCUCAGAUGGUCUUUUGGAAUCUAUGUCUAUAUGAAUUGAUCACAUUGGGUAACUGUUACUUUGCACAUAUCUGAUUUAAGUCAUUUUGCAAAUGUACUUCACCAAUAAGUUAACAAAAUUUAGGGUGACCAGUUUUAGAGGAGAACCCCUGUAAACAUGUCCAUCCCUGGCCAAAAACAGUGUAUAACAAUAAACAGUGUAUAAUAUUCUCAUUAAACGAAAAUAAUGUAUAUUCAAUCACUCCACAGCCGAGUAAAGCCUGUUAUUAGCUGUGUAACGCCUCCAUGUUGUGGCCACCUAUUUAAUAUCAUUGGGCUCUCUCAUUCUGUGCUAUUCAGAUCUCUCAGGUAUGACCUGAUGAAGUUCUGCUGGAUGUGGAGCUUCAAAGACCGGCCUGUGUUCUCAGCCAUAAAGCUUCUGGAGUCCUACACAUACCUGGCUGACACUAGACAUCUACAUCCCAGAGGGCAUAGACAUCUUUGACUACACCAAGAGGGCAGGUGUGCUCCUCUAAAUAUCUAGCCUAAAGCAUCACAUUCAUGAAGAGGCUAAAAGCAAGCAGGGGCAGACUGGCCAUCUGGCAAAUGCCAGAUGGCUGGUCCAUUUUUAGCUCAGUGAGCCUGUUAACUUUUUUUUGUUCAAAAUUAUCAUUAUCUAGCAAUUAGCUAGAAAUUGGCCAGCGAGGGGGGCCUCGAAAAUAAAUGGCCUGGUGUGUUAAACGCCAGGGCCUAAUUUCUGGUCCCAGUCUGCCCCUGAAAGCAAGGAUUUGGUCCUUUACAAAGCAUGGCUGUAGUUGAUUCUAGGUUCAUGUGUACUGUACUGUGGUAUCAACAUCCAGAGAGAUUUUAUUAAACAGAUGAAAUGUUCUAAAUUAUUUAACAUAAGGGUGUGUAAGUAUUGUAUGGCGAAUGCAACCUAUAUAUAGCCUGAUUGUAAGAUUGCACAAAUGUUGUAGAACCACACUGGGGAUUUUUGGAUGAGUGAGACUUUCAGCACAAAAUGGAUGUCAGGAAGAAAAAUCUUCUACUAAUGUUAUUGUCACGUCACAAUCCCCCCUCACAUGUUUGGUCCAUCAGUAGGGAAUUAUUUUUGAAAUUGUACAGAUAUAAUAAGCGUUCUUGAUGUCAUGAAACCAGGCAAGUCAUUAUAAAUCACCACUUUUUAUUGUCAAAGGUACAGAAUAAAAAAUACAGAUCUUCAUAA